GAAGAGACGAAGACCAGACAUUUUGUGUUUGGACUUUUAAACCUAUAGUGUGUGGUUUCUGUCGAAUUCUAAGUAAUGACAACAACACAACGAUGACGCAAGCCUUCGGUGAUCGCGCUGAUUUGCGCACAACCUCCACCCCUCCUCCAUGCAGUUGUUAGUAGCAUUUAUGCCGUCAAAUCAAGGAGGACACAUGGAAUCUUUGGAAGAGCUCAGGGUCUCCUAUAGCCUUCUGACAUCCUGCAUUAAUUCCAGAUGAAGUGAGAAGUAGUGAUGGAGAUUUCCCCCAUGGCGAGAUGGAGAUGCUGUGAUUAACACCAGAGAGAUGCUCCAGGAAAAUGCCAGAUUGAGUUUUCAGCCUGAGUGCAUGGGAUGUGCACAGUGCAACCAUCAGUGUCAGCAGAGUACAGUACCUGAAGCAGCCCUGACAGGCUGAAGAGAUGGGAGAUGGGAAGAGGAAUCAACCUGCGGUCCAGUCAGUCCGCAAACAUCAACUGCCUGCACAUAAGACAUUAAAAUAUCAAUAUUUCUUAUCAUUAUUGCCAAACACUGGUCAUUCUUGCUCUAACGGCAUUAUUGCAGCUACCUGUGCUCUCCACCGCUGAGCAGACUGACCAUUCAGAAGCUGGAUUCAUGGUCUUCUUCACUGAAAUGCAGCUACAGUGUUCACACAGUGAUAUUCCUUUUCCAAAUGCCAGUGGGCCUGCAUGUUUGUGGUUUGGCCCAGCAGCUUUGUUGCCGCUUCUUGUUCAUUUUCAGUUUUAGCCUACAAAUCUGUUGUUGUUUCCGUUCAAAGAACAUUAGCUAACAGUAUUGGCAGAGACACAUCCUUACUGAAAUGCAAGAUGCUGCUUCUUAGUGCAGCUUUUUGAGAAUGAGAUUUUUUGGCAGCGUGUGAUACCUUUUAUUAAUAUGAAGCAUACAACGUAUGAUUGCACAUGAACAUGCAUGUCGUUAAAAAAAAAAAAAAGACUCCAUUAAAAUGGUAAUUAGGUCAUCGAUCCAUCUUUCACAUGAAUGUUUGGUUUUCAUUCGUGGACAGAAAUAAUAAAUUUUGCUUUUUGCAUUUCAUCUGCUUUACAGCGAGUGUAUCAUAGGCAAGAAAAUGUAUGAAAAGACAAUGACAACAACUGAACUAACUGCCAUACAGAAUAUGCAAUUUUGCAAUUGUCUGGUUCUUCAAACAGAAAAUUCACACAAGACCGAAAGAAAAAGAUUGCAGAGUCCAGUAUCUCUUCACUCUUCUUGAGUUAUGUUCUUGUCUGUCUGUCUGCUAAUCGAGAGGACAUAACUGAGCUUUUUCCUCAGGUUUCCUAUCCCAGUCUUGCUUGUGGAAAAAGCACACUUAAGCAUUUUUUGCUCCUCCCCAUUAAAACCUGU